CCGAGCCUGCGCAGGUGGCUUAGAGGAGGUUCUAACUGUUGGCAAAUUUGGAAGUUUUUUAAGAUGCUUAUUUAUUUUAUUAUAUUUGUUGGUAAACUUGGCUUGGCUGUUAAAGACCUUGUUUUUGUGUCCCAGUGGGGAGUGAAAAGACGUUUUAUGAAAGGAACAGUUGAGUGACCAAUUUUUGCACCGAAUUUUUAUCUGGGGUUUGUGAACAUUCUUGCGCUUCUCACAAGGAGACCUAAUUAGAUGCAGCUCUCCCCAUCGCCACCCCCCCCCCCCCCGCCCCCCAGGCUCAUACUAUAGCUGAAGCGUGGACCUAUUUUUUCUGCACACUGUAAUAAGGUUUGAAUUUAGAUGUGGAAACUGACUUCGGAGGAGCCAAGGGUCUUACCCAUAGUUUCCUAGCUGGGGCCAACCACUGCCACAGGACUGAGGGAAUGGUUACAUAAAUCUGCGGAGCCCAGUGCAAAAUGAAAAUCUGUUCCUCAAAGCCCUGCUGUUUGAAUCCCUGUUACCACUCCACUGAAAUUGUGUUUGUCACUGUUACCAGUGACCUCCCAGGUGCUCACUAUACUUUUGAUUGUUCACAGUAUGAGAUAUCACCCCUUUCUGUCGCCGGGAUUGACUCACCUGAAUGUGAUGGCUGAGCCAGUGACCCCCUUCCUCUUUUGUCUUCUCACAUUUAUCAUUGUCUAAGCUAGAAGCCUUGCCAAAUAGAUGGACUAUGUAGAGGUUGCUUCAUGCUAGACUUUUUCAUACCUUACCUUGGUCAUGUGAAUACUAUUGAUUCAAGAGAGAAUUACCCAGCCCCACUGGUGAUAGUGCUGGACUUGAGAUCUGCCUGUGUUCAUGUCUGUAACAACUACUUUAGAGCGCAGGGAAGUUCCAAGCAAGGGCCAGGGUAUGGGAGAGGUCAGCUCUGGAUGCAAGAAAUGAGGGAAGGGGCAAGAAUUUUUCUGGAGAAAAUUUAAAAUUAUUUACAAUCCUGACUAAAGUCAACCUGCUUCUAUUAUCACCAUGCACUAGAAAUGCUAAAAAA